AGGCUUAUAGCUCAAUUGGUAGAGCGUAGCACUGAUAAUGCUAAGGCGCAGGUUCAAUUCCUGCUAAGCCAA
rnacentral:tRNA from 1 species